UGGCUCAGUGGUAGAGUGCUUGCCUAGCAUGCUUGAGGCCCUGGGUUCAAUUCCCAG
rnacentral:tRNA from 1 species